GCAUGCUGGAGGUAUCAGAAGUGCGAAUGCUGACAUAAGUAACGAUAAAGCGGGUGAAAAGCCCGCUCGCCGGAAGACCAAGGGUUCCUGUCCAACGUUAAUCGGGGCAGGGUGAGUCGACCCCUAAGGCGAGGCCGAAAGGCGUAGUCGAUGGGAAACAGGUUAAUAUUCCUGUACUUGGUGUUACUGCGAAGGGGGGACGGAGAAGGCUAUGUUGGCCGGGCGACGGUUGUCCCGGUUUAAGCGUGUAGGCUGGUUUUCCAGGCAAAUCCGGAAAAUCAAGGCUGAGGCGUGAUGACGAGGCACUACGGUGCUGAAGCAACAAAUGCCCUGCUUCCAGGAAAAGCCUCUAAGCAUCAGGUAACAUCAAAUCGUACCCCAAACCGACACAGGUGGUCAGGUAGAGAAUACCAAGGCGCUUGAGAGAACUCGGGUGAAGGAACUAGGCAAAAUGGUGCCGUAACUUCGGGAGAAGGCACGCUGAUAUGUAGGUGAAGUCCCUCGCGGAUGGAGCUGAAAUCAGUCGAAGAUACCAGCUGGCUGCAACUGUUUAUUAAAAACACAGCACUGUGCAAACACGAAAGUGGACGUAUACGGUGUGACGCCUGCCCGGUGCCGGAAGGUUAAUUGAUGGGGUCAGCGCAAGCGAAGCUCUUGAUCGAAGCCCCGGUAAACGGCGGCCGUAACUAUAACGGUCCUAAGGUAGCGAAAUUCCUUGUCGGGUAAGUUCCGACCUGCACGAAUGGCGUAAUGAUGGCCAGGCUGUCUCCACCCGAGACUCAGUGAAAUUGAACUCGCUGUGAAGAUGCAGUGUACCCGCGGCAAGACGGAAAGACCCCGUGAACCUUUACUAUAGCUUGACACUGAACAUUGAGCCUUGAUGUGUAGGAUAGGUGGGAGGCUUUGAAGUGUGGACGCCAGUCUGCAUGGAGCCGACCUUGAAAUACCACCCUUUAAUGUUUGAUGUUCUAACGUGGACCCGUGAUCCGGGUUGCGGACAGUGUCUGGUGGGUAGUUUGACUGGGGCGGUCUCCUCCUAAAGAGUAACGGAGGAGCACGAAGGUUGGCUAAUCCUGGUCGGACAUCAGGAGGUUAGUGCAAUGGCAUAAGCCAGCUUGACUGCGAGCGUGACGGCGCGAGCAGGUGCGAAAGCAGGUCAUAGUGAUCCGGUGGUUCUGAAUGGAAGGGCCAUCGCUCAACGGAUAAAAGGUACUCCGGGGAUAACAGGCUGAUACCGCCCAAGAGUUCAUAUCGACGGCGGUGUUUGGCACCUCGAUGUCGGCUCAUCACAUCCUGGGGCUGAAGUAGGUCCCAAGGGUAUGGCUGUUCGCCAUUUAAAGUGGUACGCGAGCUGGGUUUAGAACGUCGUGAGACAGUUCGGUCCCUAUCUGCCGUGGGCGCUGGAGAACUGAGGGGGGCUGCUCCUAGUACGAGAGGACCGGAGUGGACGCAUCACUGGUGUUCGGGUUGUCAUGCCAAUGGCACUGCCCGGUAGCUAAAUGCGGAAGAGAUAAGUGCUGAAAGCAUCUAAGCACGAAACUUGCCCCGAGAUGAGUUCUCCCUGACCCUUUAAGGGUCCUGAAGGAACGUUGAAGACGACGACGUUGAUAGGCCGGGUGUGUAAGCGCAGCGAUGCGUUGAGCUAACCGGUACUAAUGAACCGUGAGGCUUAACCUUACAACGCCGAAGGUGUUU
rnacentral:rRNA from 1 species